rnacentral:rRNA from 1 species
GAUGAACGCUGGCUGCGCUCCUAACACAUGCAAGUCGAACGAUUAAAGCACCUUCGGGUGUGUAUAAAGUGGCGAACGGCUGAGUAACACGUGGGCAACCUGCCCCUCUCAUUGGGAUAGCCACUGGAAACCGUGGAUAAUACCGAAUACUUCGGGACUUCCGCAUGGAAGACUCGAGAAAGCUCCGGCGGAGAGGGAUUGGCCCGCGGCCUGUUAGCUUGUUGGUGGGGUAAUGGCCUACCAAGGCAAUGAUGGGUAGCUGGGUUGAGAGACCGACCAGCCAGAUUGGGACUGAGACACGGCCCAGACUCCUACGGGAGGCAGCAGUGGGGAAUCUUGCACAAUGGGCGAAAGCCUGAUGCAGCGACGCCGAGUGCGGGAUGAAGGCCUUCGGGUUGUAAACCGCUUUCAGCAGGGACGAGGCGAAAGUGACGGUACCUGCAGAAGAAGCCCCGGCUAACUACGUG